rnacentral:rRNA from 1 species
AGCAGCCGCGGUAAUUCCAGCUCCAAUAGCGUAUAUUAAAGUUGUUGCAGUUAAAAAGCUCGUAGUUGAAUUUCGGAGUUUAUCCGUCGGUCGGGCUUUUGGGUCUGUACUGGCGUGAUGGAUUCCUACCUUCUGAAUAACCGGCAUGCCAUUAAUUUGGUGCGCCGGGGAAGCAGGACUGUUACCUUGAAAAAAUUAGAGUGCUUAAAGCAGGCUAUUGCCUGAAUACAUUAGCAUGGAAUAAUGAAAUAGGACGGCAUGGUUCUAUUUUGUUGGUUUCUAGGAUCACCGUAAUGAUUAAUAGGGAUAGUUGGGGGCAUUAGUAUUCAAUUGUCAGAGGUGAAAUUCUUGGAUUUAUUGAAGACUAACUUCUGCGAAAGCAUUUGCCAAGGAUGUUUUCAUUAAUCAAGAACGAAAGUUAGGGGAUCGAAGACGAUCAGAUACCGUCGUAGUCUUAACCAUAAACUAUGCCGACUAGGGAUCGGACGAUGUUAAUUUUUUAAUGACUCAUUCGGCGCCU